rnacentral:rRNA from 1 species
UACGUAGGGUGCGAGCGUUAAUCGGAAUUACUGGGCGUAAAGUGUGCGCAGGCGGCGUCGCAAGUCGAGUGUGAAAAGCCCCGAGCUUAACUUGGGAAUUGCGCUCGAAACUACGGUGCUGGAGUAUGGCAGAGGAAGGUGGAAUUCCACGUGUAGCGGUGAAAUGCGUAGAGAUGUGGAGGAACACCGAUGGCGAAGGCAGCCUUCUGGGCCAAUACUGACGCUCAUGCACGAAAGCGUGGGGAGCAAACAGG